GUCCACGCCCUAAACGAUGUCAACUGGUUGUUGGGGGAUUAACUCCCUUAGUAACGAAGCUAACGCGUGAAGUUGACCGCCUGGGGGAGUACGGCCGCAAGGUUAAAACUCAAAGGAAUUGACGGGGACCCGCACAAGCGGUGGAUUAUGUGGAUUAAUUCGAUGCAACGCGAAAACCUUACCUACCCUUGACAUGUCAGGAACGCCGCAGAGAUGCGGCGGUGCCCGAAAGGGACCUGAACACAGGUGCUGCAUGGCUGUCGU
rnacentral:rRNA from 1 species